AUUCAUUCUAUCAGUUAUCAUUU
rnacentral:snRNA from 1 species